GACGAACGCUGGCGGCGUGCUUAACACAUGCAAGUCGAACGGUAAGGCCCUUCGGGGUACACGAGUGGCGAACGGGUGAGUAACACGUGGGUGAUCUGCCCUGCACUUCGGGGUAAGCCUGGGAAACUGGGUCUAAUACCGGAUAGGACCACUGCCUGCAUGGGUGGUGGUGGAAAGCUUUUGCGGUGUGGGAUGGGCCCGCGGCCUAUCAGCUUGUUGGUGGGGGGAUGGCCUACCAAGGCGACGACGGGGCGCCGGCCUGGGAGGGUGACCGGCCGCACUGGGACGGAGAUACGGCCCAGACUCAUACGGGAGGCAGUAGUGGGGAAUAUUGCACAAUGGGCGCAAGCCUGAUGCAGCGACGCCGCGUGAGGGAUGACGGCCUUCGGGUUGUAAACCUCUUUCAGCACCGACGAAGCGCAAGUGACGGUAGGUGCAGAAGAAGGACCGGCCAACUACGUGCCAGCCGCCGCGGUAA
rnacentral:rRNA from 1 species